rnacentral:tRNA from 1 species
GGGGUUGUAGCUUGGUGGUCAGAGCGUCGGACUCACGACUCGUAGGUCGUCGGUUCGAUUCUCGAUCUCA